rnacentral:tRNA from 1 species
AAUGAGAAUGAUGAAUCUAAAGAUUUAUGGAAUUAUGAAAGGCGGAAAGAUCCUUCUGAUCGAGUCAUAUCAUU